AAUAAUAUAGCUCAGUUGGUAGAGCGGUUUGCCUCACAUGCAUAAGGCCCUGGGUUCAAUUCCCAGCAUCAAAA
rnacentral:tRNA from 1 species